AUGGUGGUUGUUGAUCGCUUCACCAAGUUCGCACACUUUGUGCCACUACGCCACCCCUUCAAUGCCGCUCAAGUGGCUUGCGCGUUCUGGGACAACGUGGUGAAGCUGCACGGCAUACCCUCCUCGAUCGUCUCGGAUCGCGACAAGGUCUUCACUACCAAUCUGUGGCGGGAGUUGCUCGCGGGUGCGGGCACCAAGCUGCUGUACUCCACCGCGUACCACCCGCAGACUGAUGGCCAGAGCGAGCGUGUGAAGCAGUGCAUGGAGAUGUACUUGCGUUGCGCCGUCCACGACUCCCCCAAGAAAUGGCGCCGCUGGUUGCCGAUGGCUGAAUUCUGGUACAACUCCACCUUCCACGCCUCGCUGAAUUGCACCCCGUUCAAGGCUCUUUACGGUAAGGAGGCCAAUUUGGGCGCCAUGGCGACAUGGGCGGAGGCCGCGCCGGCCGGCGAAGACUUGGACUGGGCAGAGCACACCGACAACAUCCGUGCUCACCUAGUGCGCGCCCAGCACCAGUUCAAGAAACAAGCUGACAAGCAUCGCGUCGAGCACUCCUUCCAAGUCGGUGAACAGGUGCUCCUGAAGCUCCAGCCGUACGUGCAGCGUUCGGUGGUCUCUCGCCCGUGCGCCAAGCUCGCCUUCAAGUUUCGGGCCGCUGGCCUACAAGCUGGAUCUGCUGCCGGACAGCCGCGUGCACCCUGUCUUCCACGUCUCGCAACUUAA
rnacentral:rRNA from 1 species